GGAAGGCAGCCAGAGAAUUUCCAUCCAAGCGCAACUCACGCAACUGCUUCAAGUUGUAAAAGCUGCUGACAUCAAGGCUGGCCACAGAAUUGUAAGUCACCCAGAGGUACUGGAGCUCCACCAGGUAGUAGAAGGCCUGUGCAGGGAUCCUGCGGAUGACAGUCUUCUCUAGACGUAGCUUCACAGUGUCCACAGUUUCUUCCAGGAGCCAGUGGAUUUUGAGAUAUAUCCAUUGGUAAAAUACUCAUCACGGGCAUUGCUUGAUAAGAAAAUGGAAGAACAAGCUGAAGGAACUUGCUUACUGUUGCAAAGAUAAGAUACUAAAAGAUGAAAUCCAAAGCUCAAGAGUUUUCCAAUACAGCAUAUUCUGGGAAUGAGCUGAAUUUUCAAAUUCUGUCCUCAGUGACAAUAGAGUCUGCUCUUUUUACAACUUUAAUUUUCUUUUUAAGGCCUUUCCAUCUUAACUAGAUUCCACCACCAAAGACAAGACUAUGAACAGGAUGUAUGAGAGCAGUAAAGGACAUAAAAAUACAUUUUUGCCAUGGUACACACUCUUCCCCAAUAAAAACUUGACAAUGUAAUAACCAAAUAUAUGGAUGAUUAUAAAAGAAUUAUUUUAUAGAAAACUUUUCUUAGCCCCACUUCACUACUGUUACAUUGUUUAUCAAGAUUCAAAAUAACUUGUGACAUUAACCACCAUUAACAAUGCCUUUAUUUAUCCUUUCACCUACAUUCUCUUACUAUACAGCCAAGAAAUACGGCAAGUAUUAUUACUCCUAUUUGCGCACCCCACACACACACCCCAACUCAGAAAGGAUAAGUGACUUGUUGGCCAACAACAUGGAACUUGAAACAUCUCUGAACCCAUGCUUUUUCUACCACCUUAUGCUGAAAACCUCUGCUUUUCUUCACCCAUUCGAAAACAAAAUAAUGGUUAAUGGAGUAAACAUCCAUACCUG